rnacentral:tRNA from 1 species
GGGCGGUUAACUCAGCGGUAGAGUGUCACCUUCACACGGUGGAAGCCACAGGUUCAAACCCUGUACCGCCCACCA